rnacentral:rRNA from 1 species
CCUACGGGAGGCAGCAGUGAGGAAUAUUGGUCAAUGGGCGCGAGCCUGAACCAGCCAAGUAGCGUGAAGGAUGACUGCCCUACGGGUCGUAAACCUCUUUUAUAAAGGAAUAAAGUGAGGCACGUGUGCCUUUUUGUAUGUACCUUAUGAAUAAGGAUCGGCUAACUCCGUGCCAGCAGCCGCGGUAAUACGGAGGCUGCGAGCGUUAUCCGGAUUUAGUGGGAUUAAAGGGUGCGCAGGCGGAUUUUUAAGUCAGCGGUCAAAUCGUGGGGCUCAACCCCGUCCAGCCGUUGAAACUGGGGGUCUAGAGUGGGCGAGAGGUAUGCGGAAUGCGUGGUGUAGCGGUGAAAUGCAUAGAUAUCACGCAGAACCCCGAUUGCGAAGGCAGCAUGCCGGUGCACAACUGACGCUGAGGCACGAAAGCGUGGGUAUCGAACAGGAUUAGAUACCCGAGUAGUC